rnacentral:lncRNA from 1 species
UAAAUUUUUACACAAAACACAAGUUCAUACCAAGCACGUUUGGCUCGUUUUUUGCAGCUGUACUAGCUGCAGUUAGACACAAACAGAAGUCUUUGUAAUCAGUUUACAGUUUAUAUAUUAAACACUCGAGGCAUAUAACAACUGGCUAGAAAUGAUGAUUUCUCAGGUGAAACCCAUACCAAACUUGAAUUUCCUUUCAAGUGAAGAAAUUUGCAGAGACCUUCUAAGGUUGGACUUGUCCUUCUUGAUCUGGACUAGCUUGUCGUAUACGCACCAUGGGAAACUGAUAUAAUGAUCCCGAUUCAGUCCCUCAUUGUAGCAAUCCCAAUAGUCAUGAUGAUAAGUGACGUGAUACCAAGCUGAUGCUUUUGCAUACACAUCAUCUGAUUCGCUUCCUUUCUUGAACAUUUUCCUAGCUUCGCUCCUCAAUGACCUCACAGCUGCACCAAUGGUGUCUGCAUCUCGUCUUCGAUCAAAACUCUUUGACGUCUUCAUAAUACCACCACUCAGUAUUUCAGCCUCUGUUUUUAUGCCAUAAUAAUCCAUCAGAUUACCCAACUUGUAAUCGUACUCAGUUUUGUAAUGAAAUGCUUCGUCAAUGUAAUCUUCAAACCCAUCCACUUCCAUGUCGGGAUCAUAUGACUUCCUAGCCACUUUGUCGGUAAAGGAUUGAAUAGGAGCCGUGUCGGGGGCAAUGCUUAUCACGUCUCUAAAAAGCUUUCCGAUCACACUUUUCGAUUCAUAGGUUUUCUUGUCGGGCUUUUCCAUGAAAUCUGGAUAUUUUUUCACACGUAAAUGAGGUGGUAUUACUGCAGGAACACCAGUUUUUGAGAAGUCGACAGCAAUGGAGAACAGUUUUGACAACUCUAUACAAGGCUCACUCAAUGCCUUGCUUGGUUCUUUAUCAGCAAAGACGGUGUGUGCAUUUGCAAUGAUACCUAAACUAUCGUUCACAAUAUAGUUGGUGAAGUACUCCUCAACUUCCUGUAUCAAAGGAAAAGUAUAAAAUAAAUACUAACUUCUGUUGAAAUCACA